rnacentral:lncRNA from 1 species
UAGGAGCUUCGGGCCCCCUUGCUCUCCCCAGCAGCCCCACCCACUGGCAAAGGACCCGGGUCUCUUUCUCCAAGGGACAGGGGGGUCGGGAAAAAGGAAAGACAAGACUCUGCUGUGAAACAAGCAAACGUGUCAAGCGUGGGCUUCAAUAGAAUACUCGCCUCACAACCGUGGCACGGAGAGAAAGCCCUGAUUUCUCUUUCAUUCCUAAAGGGCUAGAAUUCUGUCGUCUAAAACCUGCCUCAUGGAAGCCCGUGGAAAAAACUGCCUGUGGAAGACACGAGGUUGUGAGCGCUUAUAGCACAGAUGGAGCAGAGUGACCACAGCUGAGGGAAAACAAUGAACUUUAUGUUCUUCCAGAACAAAUUACACACUCCCCCCAGCUCAUAAAGGCUUUUUAUAUAACUGCAGUCAGGCAAUACCUGGGCAGGGAGCGACUGCGGGGGAUCCCACAUCCCUGGGCGGCUCUUGCCUCGGGCAGCCCCACCACGCCCCUCCCAGCACCCAGGGUGUC